rnacentral:rRNA from 1 species
AGCUCCAAUAGCGUAUACUAAUGUUGUUGCAGUUAAAAAGCUCGUAGUCGGAUUUCAGUUUGUUGAAUGACUCUUUUAUUGUGUCUUUUCGACUUACUUCAUUGAUACGAACCUUCAUCUGAUUUAUUUCCGGUGAUGUCUAGUAUCUCUUUUACUUUGAGAAAAUUAGAGUGUUCAAAGCAGGUUUUCGCCUGAAUAUUACUCUUGGAAUAAUGACAUAGGACUUUGGUUCUAAUCUGUUGGUGUAUUGGGACCGGAGUAAUGAUUGAUAGGGACGGUUGGGGUCAUUCAUACUGCAAAGCGAGAGGUGAAAUUCUUGGACCUUUGUAUGAUGAACAACUGCGAAAGCAUUUGACUAGGACGUUCCCG